UACGUAGGGUGCGAGCGUUGUCCGGAAUUAUUGGGCGUGAAGGGCUCGUAGGCGGUCUGUCGCGUCGGGAUUGAAAACUCAGGGCUUAACCCUGAGCCUGCUUCCGAUACGGGCAGACUAGAGGUAUGCAGGGGAGAACGGAAUUCCUGGUGUAGCGGUGGAAUGCGCAGAUAUCAGGAGGAACACCGGCGGCGAAGGCGGAUCUCUGGGCCGAUACUGACGCUGAGGAGCGAAAGCGUGGGGAGCGAACAGG
rnacentral:rRNA from 1 species